ACUCCUACGGGAGGCAGCAGUGGGGAAUCUUGGACAAUGGGCGCAAGCCUGAUCCAGCCAUGCCGCGUGAGUGAUGAAGGCCUUAGGGUCGUAAAGCUCUUUCGCCAGGGAUGAUAAUGACAGUACCUGGUAAAGAAACCCCGGCUAACUCCGUGCCAGCAGCCGCGGUAAUACGGAGGGGGUUAGCGUUGUUCGGAAUUACUGGGCGUAAAGCGCGCGUAGGCGGAUCGGAAAGUUGGGGGUGAAAUCCCGGGGGCUCAACCCCGGAACUGCCUCCAAAACUAUCGGUCUAGAGUUCGAGAGAGGUGAGUGGAAUUCCGAGUGUAGAGGUGAAAUUCGUAGAUAUUCGGAGGAACACCAGUGGCGAAGGCGGCUCACUGGCUCGAUACUGACGCUGAGGUGCGAAAGUGUGGGGAGCAAACAGGAUUAGAUACCCUGGUAGGAUAGCG
rnacentral:rRNA from 1 species